rnacentral:rRNA from 1 species
AGCCUGAGAGGUGAUGCGUAGCCGAUUGAGGCGAAUUCAGUGAUCCUAUGCUGCCGAGAAAAGCCUCUAGUGAGUUGUUACACGGCCCGUACCCCAAACCGACACAGGUGGUCAGGUAGAGAAUACUAAGGCGAUCGAGAUAACUAUGGUUAAGGAACUCGGCAAAAUGCCCCCGUAACUUCGGGAGAAGGGGGGCCUUGUCCGGUGACGGAAUUUACUUCCUGAGCUGGGUGGGGCCGCAGAGACCAGUGAGAAGCGACUGUUUACUAAAAACACAGGUCCGUGCGAAGUCGUAAGACGAUGUAUACGGACUGACGCCUGCCCGGUGCUGGAAGGUUAAGAGGACCGGUUAGCCAGCAAUGGCGAAGCUGAGAAUUUAAGCCCCAGUAAACGGCGGUGGUAACUAUAACCAUCCUAAGGUAGCGAAAUUCCUUGUCGGGUAAGUUCCGACCUGCACGAAUGGCGUAACGACUUCUCAGCUGUCUCAACCAUAGACUCGGCGAAAUUGCAUUACGAGUAAAGAUGCUCGUUACGCGCGGCAGGACGAAAAGACCCCGGGACCUUCACUACAGCUUGGUAUUGGUGUUCGGUUCGGUUUGUGUAGGAUAGGUGGGAGACUGUGAAGCGGUGACGCCAGUUACUGUGGAGUCGUUGUUGAAAUACCACUCUGAUCGUAUUGGAUACCUCAACCUCGGACCAUGAUCUGGUUCAGGGACAGUGCCUGGUGGGUAGUUUAACUGGGGCGGUUGCCUCCUAAAAUGUAACGGAGGCGCCCAAAGGUUCCCUCAGCCUGGUUGGCAAUCAGGUGUCGAGUGCAAGUGCACAAGGGAGCUUGACUGUGAGACUGACAAGUCGAGCAGGGACGAAAGUCGGGACUAGUGAUCCGGCACCGGCAAGUGGAAGCGGUGUCGCUCAACGGAUAAAAGGUACCCCGGGGAUAACAGGCUGAUCUUCCCCAAGAGUCCAUAUCGACGGGAUGGUUUGGCACCUCGAUGUCGGCUCGUCGCAUCCUGGGGCUGGAGUAGGUCCCAAGGGUUGGGCUGUUCGCCCAUUAAAGCGGCACGCGAGCUGGGUUUAGAACGUCGUGAGACAGUUCGGUCUCUAUCCGCCGCGCGCGUAAGAAACUUGAGGAAGGCUGUCCCUAGUACGAGAGGACCGGGACGGACGAACCUCUGGUGUGCCAGUUGUUCCACCAGGAGCACCGCUGGUUGGCUACGUUCGGAAGGGAUAACCGCUGAAAGCAUCUAAGCGGGAAGCCUGUUCCAAGAUGAGGUUUCUCACCCCCUCGAGGGGGUAAGGCCCCCGGCAGACCACCGGGUUGAUAGGCCAGAACUGGAAGUCGGGUAACCGAUGCAGGUGACUGGUACUAAUAGGCCGAGGACUUACCACAA